GGUUUUUACUUUUAGGAAUAUGGCAACCCUAUUCAUAAUCCUAUUUUAGGUGGGUUUAGUAAGGUGUGUUCAAAAAAUGAAUGGCUAGGUUGAAGUACAGUGCUGAUACAGUAUUUCCAAUAUUAUAUGGGGUAAUAAAGAUACAAUAAUAACCAGUUCUGAACAUUCUAAAGUCAUGUCAAAGAAAUAAUACAGGGAGCCUGUUUUCAGGGGCUUAGUUACAUUGGACUGAGUUUGAGGAGGAAAGAAGAAGGAAGUAACAAUGCAUUUCUGAUUCUUCAUCCUGUCCUAAAUGCAGGAGCUGAGGCGGAAGAACAUAUUUUUCCUGCCCUUUCAAAAUCUCUUCUAGGAUUACAGGGAUGUAAACACAUUAUUGGUGCUUUGUCCCACACACCCAACUUGUUGUUGUUGUUUAGUCGUUUAGUCGUGUCCGACUCUUCGUGACCCCAUGGACUAGAGCACGCCAGGUACUCCUGUCUUCCACUGCCUCCCGCAGUUUGGUCAGACUCAUGUUUGUAGCUUCCAGAACACUGUCUAACCAUCUCAUCCUCUGUCGUCCCCUUCUCCUUGUGCCCUCCAUCUUUCCCAACAUCAGUGUCUUUUCCAGGGAGUCUUCCCUUCUCAUGAGGUGGCCAAAGUAUUGGAGCCUCAGCUUCACAAUCUGUCCUUCCAGUGAGCACUCAGGGCUGAUUUCCUUAAGAAUGGAUACGUUUGAUCUUCUUGCAGUCCAUGGGACUCUCAAGAGUCUCCUCCAGCACCAUAAUUCAAAAGCAUCAAUUCUUCGGCGAUCAGCCUUCUAUAUGGUCCAGCUCUCACUUCCAUACAUCACUACUGGGAAAACCAUGGCUUUUACUAUACAGACCUUUUACUAUACGGAACUAAGUUGGCUUUAAGAAAGUUUAAGGAGCAAUGCAGUUGCUUGGUUGGGUGAAGCAACCUGUAUCUCCAGUUGGCUGCAGUUGUUGCUUCUGCUGAUUUGUAAAGGUGAGAGUGGCUUUGCAGAGCAGGGCUAGCUCCUCAAUUGGGUCUAUCAAUUUCGAUUUUGAAUUGAAGACACAGGAGGCAUCUCCACCUCUUUACUCUCUCAUCCAUUACUGAAAUUUUCUAAACUCAAAUGAGAAAAGAUGUAAGAAAUGCACAAUAGUUUCUGUCCACAAAAGCACCCCAACUGUAGUAGAUUUACUCAAUAGAUCUAAUCUAUUGAGUCUGCUACCUCUUCCCACACUCCAUCUGAAGACUGUUAUCAAUACAGCCUCUAUGGCUUUAAUACCAAGCCAGCUUUUCAUUACAACCUGCCUCCCUUUUGCUUGAAACCCAGCCUGAUUAAGAGUUCUAGAGAAGCCGAAAGAUUACUCACUGUUUUAGAAAAUUCAGGUUGGCCUAAUAAAGGGGUUGCUCUACUAUAGAUUUUGGAUUUUGUUGUUGCUCUUUGUGUAACUUGAUCAAGGUAAUUCAGCAGAAGCAUGAGGUUGUGGCAGAGACAAAAAUCUGACUCCAGCCCAGUGCCUGAUAUUGUAUACCAUACUCCUGCCUCAUUCUUCAGUAUACAAAUUAUUUCACCCUCUGCUAGGAAGUAUCAGCUCAGUCACCUAGGAUGCAAACUUGCAGAAAAUAACAAGGUAUUCUAGGAGGAAAUUAUUGGGGUGUAGAUAUUGUAGGAACUGGUUCAGAUGGCUAUGAAGGUGGCUUUGUGUGGUGUAGUGGUUAAGAGCGGUAGUCUCGUAAUCUGGGGAACCGGGUUCGUGUCUCCGCUCCUCCACAUGCUGCUGCUGGGUGACCUUGGGCUAGUCACACUUCUUUGAAGUCUCUCAGCCGCACUCACCUCACAGAGUAUUUGUUGUGGGGGAGGAAGGGAAAACGAGAUUGUUAGCCGCUUUGAGACUCCUUCGGGUAGUGAUAAAGCGGGAUAUCAAAUCCAAACUUCUCCUCCUCCUCUUCUUCUUCUUCUUCUUCUUCUUCUUCUUCUUCGUGCAGUUCACUGCUUCUAUUGAUAGAAAUUUGGUCAUGUGUCUUUUCAACCAGUUACAUCUAAGUAACAUACAGAGGAAUAGACAUCUCUAUGGUUUACUUAUGUAAUAAAGUCUACUCAAGACCCAAAACUUUUGUGUACAAAAGUUCUUGUAUGUAUACAUAUAUUCUUAAGAUCUUAAUUUUUUUCCUGUCUGAAUUCUAGGGCAUACCCAUUUGCUGUACUGUCAGUUUUAGUUUCUGCCUUUUGGAGCAAAGUUCAC